rnacentral:rRNA from 1 species
GGCGAGUGAAGAGGGAAAAGCCCAAAUUUGUAAUCUGGCUCUUUUAUGAGGGUCCGAGUUGUAAUUUUGAGAACUGUUUUCUGUGCUGGACCAUUUCUAAGUCUGUUGGAAAAUAGCAUCAUAGAGGGUGAUAAUCCCGUAUGUGAUAUGGACUACCAGGGCUAUAUGAUACAGUUUCUAAGAGUCGAGUUGUUUGGGAAUGCAGCUCAAAGUGGGUGGUAAAUUCCAUCUAAGGCUAAAUAUAGGUGAGAGACCGAUAGCAUACAAGUACCGUGAGGGAAAGAUGAAAAGAACUUUGGAAAGAGAGUUAACAGUACGUGAAAUUGUUGUAAGGGAAACACUUAAACUUAUCGUUGUGCUUGUCAGUUCAGCCCUCUUAUCAGGGUGUAUUCUGACAAAACACGGACCAACAUCAGUUUUUGAGUGCUGGAUAAGGGUCUUGGGAAUGUAGCAGUCUAGGCUGUGUUAUAGCCCAGGAUUUAGAUACAGUGCUUAGGACUGAGAGAUAUUUGCAGCAAGC